AACGAACGCUGGCGGCAUGCCUAACACAUGCAAGUCGAACGAGACCUUCGGGACUUGUGGCGUAUGGGUGCGUAAGGCGAGGGAACAUGCACUUAGGUUUGGAAUACCCCCCGGAAGGGGACAACAAUUCGAAACAACUGCUAAGACCGAAUAAUCCCACGCAUCCGCAUGGAUCUGCGUGAAAUGAGUUUUUUCGCGUUAGGAUGGACUCGCGUUCGAUUAGCUAGUUGGUAGGGUAACGGCCUACCAAGGCGACGAUCGAUAGCUGGUCUGAGAGGAUGAUCAGCCACACUGGGACUGAGACACGGCCCAGACUCCUACGGGAGGCAGCAGUGGGGAAUAUUGGACAAUGGGCGAAAGCCUGAUCCAGCAAUGCCGCGUGAGUGAUGAAGGCCUUAGGAUUGUAAAGCUCUUUUGCCCGGGAUGAUAAUGACAGUACCGGGAGAAUAAGCUCCGGCUAACUCCGUG
rnacentral:rRNA from 1 species